GAGAGAGGAGGAGGAGGAGGAGGAGGCGGAUCCAAUCAGGAGUCAACGAGGUGCAGCCGUGAGGAGGCUCGGCCGCUGCGACGCGAUUGGCCGUUGACAGGUUUGGAGCAAUCAGCAGUGUGGUACUUGAGCAGUAGCUCACCGCUGAAGCGUCAGCCAGCGUCAGCCCGCGUGCAACCCGUGUGUGAAGACCUCCGUGUGUGAAGACCGACGUGGGUAAAGACCUGCGACUCUACCUGCGCGACUCAACCGAGCAGAGGAAACCGACAGAGGCCGGGCGAGGGGGGUAACGCCGCUUUUCACGCUAAGUUGUAGUGAUGCGCAGGUCGACCCGCGGAUAUCUGCGGGUGCGGACCCGCGCAUCACUGGUAAGUUGCUUUUCUGCACUUUUCCCGUGUGCUUCGUUGCUCUCAGCUGUGUAGGAUGGAGGAACACAUGGGUGCGCUUGUCGGGGGAUGACUCUAAGUGUGACCGGGUUGGAGGCACCGACGGUGCUGGAUGCAGGGCCUGACGCGCUACACCUGAGCCUGGUGUCUUCCCCUUUAAAUCUUGGCUCUCUGACUUCUCUGACUGUCUUCCUCAUGGCUCCCAUGCGCCUAGCAGACCUGAUGGCGGUUGCUGCCUUUCAGGUGCUGGAUGCAGGGAACCGCCUGAUGUGCAACACCUGAGCCUCGUGUGGCUGCAUAAAGUCCCUCCCCCUUUCAGUCCAGGCUCCCUAACAUCUCAAGUUAUCUCUCUGGCUGUCUUCAUCAUCGCUCCUGGCAGACCUGAUGGCAGCUUUUUUUUUUUUUUUUUUUUUUGUUGUUGUUGUUGUUGUUGUUGUUG